CAUGGAUUAGUCAUCAUUUCAAAUAACCCAUUGUUAUACUUAGCGAUUAUACUAUAUACAGUCUUAUCUUCUUAAAAAAGAUUAUCCUUAUUGGACACCCUAUAAUUGUGUGCUUCUGUGCUUCUUACUUUCUUCCAAUAUGUAUCUCCUGGCAGAUGGCAACUCCAUUGCUGGUCUGUUAUUUAUAAGAUUUUGGUCUUCUCUCCUAGUGGUUAUUUCAGUGGUUUCUUGCGUUAUCACCUGUGAUGUCAUGGUGAUUGGUUUUAUUAUUUUAGCUUGGUCCCAUUCUAUCUAUAUGUUGUUGCUAUAUGCUUCUUCUGCCAAUGCUGUUGUUGUCCUGCCUGCCACAAUAUCUUUUUUGUGUUCGAUGAUCCUCUGGGCCAAAGUUCUAGUUGUAAUAUUUACGUAAGCAGCUUUCUUAUUCUCAGUAGGAUAAUUAAUUGGGAUACUGUAUACACCUGAUUGUUCACAGUGGCUGUGUGGGUCUUUUUCAUUACAGAAGGUGUUAAAGAGGGUUGGCGCUCUUUUUGUGGCUAUCUUCUUUCUAGUUUUUCAUGCAAUUUCUUUCACAACGUUUAGCUUGCUGGUAUGGUAGGGUACAGGUAAGUAUUCUGUUCCACCGGUUUCCCUUUCACUUACAACUCUUCGUUCUGUGGUGCGGAUCUUUUAACUUUGCAUUGUAUAUUGCUUAGGAAUUUUCUAAUAUAUCCAUGGUUAUAACCCACGUUGUAUAUGUAACUAAGUUUUUCUUGCAGGUCUCGGUUUUCAGUUGUGUAGUCAUAUGCUCUUUUAAAGGAAAAGUUAAAUGCUGCAGCCUUAUAUGAUAUCAGGUCUGACAAGGAGAGGUCCUCAAGUGGAAUCCACCGAUUUUGAUGGG
rnacentral:lncRNA from 1 species